GGAUAGAGCUCGCGAAGCCGUUCGUACUCAGGUGCAUAAUCGCGGGCUCAUUGCUGGUUGCAUUGUCUAACAGGAGGCUAGUGAUGUAGUCCUGUGCUAGAAGUGCAUUUACGAGCGAUUGAGCUGAGACUUGGGGAGCAGUUGCUGAACGAUCGACUAGAGGCUUCCCUCUGGGUUGAACCUUGUCGGGCUUACAGUUAUUUGCUCUGCUCGUACUGGGCUUGGCCUACGAACCCUGUUGCUUAGGCGGUGCACGGUGGUGGAGUCACAUGUGACGCUCAUUGCCGGGUGCUUUCUCUGUAGCUUGUCGUUCACAAGCCCACUCUCGGUGUAGAAGCUGGUCAGCUAUCCGACCCGUCUUGAAACACGGACCAAGGAGUUUAGCGUAUUCGCGAGCCAUUGGGCGUUCAAAACCCAUAGGCACAAUGAAAGUGAAGACCCGGUCGCUAGGCUUACAUGUGAGUGGAAAGUCUUCGCGACUAGCACUGCAGCAUGGUCCCGUUGUAAUGGUUUGCGCUGGAGCGGAGAUAGAGCGUAUGCGCUGAG
rnacentral:rRNA from 1 species